AGCACCGUAGCACAGCUGGAAGUGCGCCGGUCUCAUAAAAUUUGAGGAAUCCGGAGGCCGCUUGAUCGAAACAAGCCGUUGCUA